GUCGAACGCUGGCGGCGUGCUUAACACAUGCAAGUCGAACGGUAAGGCCCUUCGGGGUACACGAGUGGCGAACGGGUGAGUAACACGUGGGUGAUCUGCCCUGCACUUCGGGAUAAGCCUGGGAAACUGGGUCUAAUACCGGAUAGGACCACUGCCUGCAUGGGUGGUGGUGGAAAGCUUUUGCGGUGUGGGAUGGGCCCGCGGCCUAUCAGCUUGUUGGUGGGGUGAUGGCCUACCAAGGCGACGCCGGGUAGCCGGCCUGGGAGGGUGACCGGCCACACUGGGACUGAGAUACGGCCCAGACGCCUACGGGAGGCAGCAGUGGGGAAUAUUGCACAAUGGGCGCAAGCCUGAUGCAGCGACGCCGCGUGAGGGAUGACGGCCUUCGGGUUGUAAACCUCUUUCAGCACCGACGAAGCGCAAGUGACGGUAGGUGCAGAAGAAGGACCGGCCAACUACGUGCCAGCCGCCGCGGUAA
rnacentral:rRNA from 1 species